GCAAAUAGACUACCCGGAUCGCUCAUGGGCGACUUUUUUUGGCGACGAACCGCGGGUAAACCGGGUUUUCAAGAACCGGGGCCGAGCCCUAUCCAGGAGCUGUAGAAGAAAAAAGAAGAAAAUUCUGUUUUCGUGUAAGGAAGCGUAUGGGGAUCAUUAGAACAUGAUGCAGUUCCAGUUUGCUUGGUUGUUUUGAGAGAUUGUAGCAUGCUAGCACCUUUACUGAAAUAAGACAAAAACCUCAAAAACUAUCAAACCGAAGUUUCUGAACCAAAAAGAAAAAGUCUGGUUUUUUUACUCAUUUAAUCAGCAUUUAAUUGUGAUUAUGAUAGGUGAGUUUCAUUGACUUCCAAAUCAAAAUGCUAAGCCCGACAAAAUAAUCCCAACUUUUUCUUUUAUUUUUCUUUUUGUUUCAGAAACCUUGAUAUUGCAACAAAUAUACAUGGUUUAAAUACAAAAUUGAACGAG